UGGGGAAUAUUGGACAAUGGGCGGAAGCCUGAUCCAGCCAUGCCGCGUGUGUGAAGAAGGCCUUUUGGUUGUAAAGCACUUUAAGCGAGGAGGAGGGUACUGGUAUUAAUACUACCAGCUACUGGACGUUACUCGCAGAAUAAGCACCGGCUAACUCUGUGCCAGCAGCCGCGGUAAUACAGAGGGUGCGAGCGUUAAUCGGAUUUACUGGGCGUAAAGCGUGCGUAGGCGGCUAAUUGAGUCGGAUGUGAAAUCCCCGAGCUUAACUUGGGAAUUGCAUUCGAUACUGGUUAGCUAGAGUGUGGGAGAGGAUGGUAGAAUUCCAGGUGUAGCGGUGAAAUGCGUAGAGAUCUGGAGGAAUACCGAUGGCGAAGGCAGCCAUCUGGCCUAACACUGACGCUGAGGUACGAAAGCAUGGGGAGCAAACAGG
rnacentral:rRNA from 1 species